AUUUUGAGGCAAAUUGUACAAUGCUUUCUGAGAGGCAAAUCAAACAUUUCCUUUCAACAUAAUAAUUUGGGGACUCUGCUCUUUCGUCUUCUCUUCUUCUUCUCUUCUUCUUCUUCCACAUAGUGAGUCAACAAUGAAAGCCCUAAAAGUGACAGAUCACUUGCUUGAUGAGGUGAUACUGGAAAUUCUCUCCCAUUUGCCACCCAAGUGUUUGAUAAAAUGCACAAUCGUGUGCAAGUCAUGGUAUUCUCUGAUCAAAAGCCCCCAAUUCAUUUCCACCCACCUUGCCGCCGUUAACAGAAAUCGUAAUCGACAAUUGGUAUUAGUCCGCGUCGAUUGCCCUGAUCAAUACUCUUUGCAUUUUGACAACAAAGCGUUAGAAAAGUACAUGUCUCUACCUGGCCCAUCAAUCCCAUUAAUUCCCAUCGAGCACUUUGAGAUCGUCGGCUCUUGCAAUGGCAUAGUUUGCUUCUCUAACAUGUAUGAGUUGAAUAUCAUUCUCUGGAAUCCAUCCAUUAGAAAAUCCUUAAUUCUUCCACAAGCCGCUUUCAACUCUAGAGGAAUAGUUGGUUUUGGCUUUGAUUCAAGCACCAACGAUUACAAAGUGUUUAGAAUGUUGUACGGACAUCCAUUUAAGACUGAGCUUUACUCUUUGAAUUCAGGAUCUUGGAAGGAUAUAACAGAAAUUGCUCCCUUUUACAAGAUUAAAGGGCAUGUCACUGGGGCUUCUGUAAAUGGUGCAUUGCAUUGGGUUGUGGGUGACGGAGACAAGGAUGUUGGGUUCAAGAGUAUAGUCAUGGUGUUUGAUGUAAAAGAUGAAGUCUUUCGGGAGAUUAUGCUGCCAGAGUGCUUGGUAAAGGUUGCUGCGUUUAAAUUAUCUGUUAUUGCAUUUGCAAAGUCAUCAAUUGCAGUUAUUAAAGAACCAAACGGCACUGAUCCUUAUCAUUCGCAUAUAUGGAUGAUGAAAGAGUACGGUGUAAGGAAUUCAUGGGAGAAGUUUACUGUAGGUAAACGUUGGAAAGGAAGGUCAACAGUGUUGGGGUUUAGAGCAAAUGGCCAAGUCUUGAUGAAAUUUGAUCGGGGGCAAAUAGCUUCCUUUGACCUUGUUAGCCAACGAUUUAAGAAUCUUGUGGUUAAUCACAUACGUAGGUAUUCAUGUUAUUUUUCCCAUGUCGAGAGCCUAAUUCUCCUCAAUUAAGGAAAUGGUGCAAUGAUUGCAACUGAUACAGGCCACAGAACAGGUGAUGCAAAGCUAAGUAACAGAUUUAACUGAUGCACUUUCUGAGUAGAAGUUAAGUGCCUUAAGCUUUUCUGUUUGCUAUUUGCCAUUUUGGUUUUGGUAUACACACACACACACACACACACACAAACACUAUGUUAUUUAGCUUUCACAUGCGAAGAUGGCAAUUGAAACUUGUAUCAACCUUUAAUCUAUAAGUAGCGAUGCUUCUUUAUUUUCCAUGUUGGUCAAUGCAUUUAAGCGAAAUUUCAGUUAAAAUCUGUUAAUAUAUCCUUUUAGUUGUGCUUAAAUGUUGAUCGAGUUAAAGUAUUUAGCAUGUUUGUACGGAGAAUACCUGCAGCAUCUUUUAUGACAGUUGGUUAAGUAGGUGGAAUAUAGUAAUCACUCCUUUGAAACAUUUGCAAUAGAAACCGUUUAAAAUUCGCACAUCAUAUAUAUUUGAAAUGCACUAGCAUGUGAAUUCUUCAAGUCAUGAUGCUCCCUUUGGAAGAUUCAACUCCAUUUCCUCCCAUCUUACUAAAUCAUUAUUAAAGCCCUGUGGCAAUGAAUAUUCAGUACUGUGGUAAUGUUCAUAACAGAUUUUGAACUCCCUUGCAAUGAUUGUCAGAACUUGGUGAGAAAGUGAAAGGAAUUUUAAAUAUUGAAUUAUGUAUUGGCAAUAGUAUGUUUAGAAUCUGCAAAAGGAACAUCUUCUCCUGUUUAUCUGUAAAAUGUGUAGUUUUUUGGUGUGAAAAGCUCUAUUUUGCAUUCCAUUAAGCACCGGCGUUGAUCUCUCAUAAUAAUGAAAGUUGAAACCAAUGAACAAAAUGUGCCGUUUUUUUUUUUUUUUUUUUUUUUUUUUUUUUUUUUUUUUUUUUUUUUUUUUUUUUUUUUUUUUUUUUUUUUUUUUUUGAACAACACAUGCUUGUAAUUGUUAAAGUUCUUGGCCACAAAAGGAACAAAUAAAUGGAGCUUAGCUAUCCCAUUGAUUAGAGUAAGACAACCUACCUAUCUUUCUUCUGUCUCUGUUUCUUUCCUUUCCUAAGGCACGCUCUAUUGCAAAACCAUAAAAAAAAUCUUAAAAGCAAAGAUUUCAGGUCAAUAUUGGGACCAAGCAGUGUUGAUAUCUUUCACAAAUUCUAUAGCAAAUCCAUUGUGUGAUCUAUAAUACAGUAUAAACUGUCAACAGAUACGAUGGUGCUGUUGCUAGAGCACUAGGACCUGGAUGCACCUUGAUUGAUCCAAAAUGUUUUCCUGGAUAAGGCCUUAGAAUUCAUUCUGAUUCCAAGGUAUGCACAGGAUCAUUGGCGUUGAUGAAAUGUGGAAAAGUGUGAAAGUGUCGACUCCCUAACCAAGAAUUUACAGUAGUGCUGAUCAAAUUUGGAAUCAUAUUUUUUUUGUGGGUACUUGAUGGAUUCUGUAUUUUUCAUAUGAAUGGUUAUUUUGCUAGAAUGGAAUGUAACGGUGUAACUAUUAGACUUAGAUGCUAAAUAUCAGAUAAUUACUUGUUCAGUCGUUCUCCUAUCAUAUAAUAUAAAGUUUCCAAUUUCAAGAGUUUA